rnacentral:rRNA from 1 species
UUACCCACUCCUAGAUCGGGGAGGUAGUGACGAAAAAUAACAAUACCGGACUCUAUGAGGCUCGGUAAUUGAAAUGAGUACAGUUUAAAAGCCUUAACGAGGAUCUAUUGGAGGGCAAGUCUGGUGCCAGCAGCCGCGGUAAUUCCAGCUCCAAUAGCGUAUAUUAAAGUUGUUGCAGUUAAAAAGCUCGUAGUUGGAUCUCGGGUACUAGCAUUCGGUACGCUUAAUUGCUGUUACUGUUUGUCUAGUCCUAAUCAAUCGGUUGGCCAUUUAUGCCCUUUAUUGGGUGUUUUUGGUAGCCGAUACGUUUACUUUGAGAAAAUUAGUGUGCUUAAAGCAGGCUUUACGCCUGAAUAAUGUUGCAUGGAAUAAUAGAAUAGGACCUCGGUUCUAUUUUGUUGGUUUUGUAGAGCAUUGAGGUAAUGAUUAAUAGGGACAGACGGGGGCAUUCGUACUGCGGUGUUAGAGGUGAAAUUCUUGGAUCGCCGCAGGACGAACAACUGCGAAAGCAUUUGCCAAGAAUGUUUUCAUUAAUCAAGAGCGAAAGUUGGAGGUUCGAAGACGAUUAGAUACCGUCCUAGUUCCAACCAUAAACGAUGCCAACUAGCGAUUAGCUGCUGUUAAUUAAACGACACAGCUAGCAGCUUCCGGGAAACCAAAGUUUUUGGGUUCCGGGGGAAGUAUGGUUGCAAAGCUGAAACUUAAAGGAAUUGACGGAAGGGCACCACCAGGAGUGGAGCCUGCGGCUUAAUUUGACCCAACACGGGAAAUCUCACCCGGCCCGGACACUGUAAGGAUUGACAGAUUGAGAGCUCUUUCUUGAUUCGGUGGGGGGUGGUGCAUGGCCGUUCUUAGUUGGUGGAGCGAUUUGUCUGGUUAAUUCCGAUAACGAACGAGACUCUAGCCUGCUAAAUAGUACGCCGAUCUUUAGUCGGCGCGUACUUCUUAGAGGGACAAGUAGCGGUUAGCUACACGAAAUUGAGCAAUAACAGGUCUGUGAUGCCCUUAGAUGUUCGGGUCCGCACGCGCGCUACACUGAAGGGAUAAGCGUGUUCUUCCUGCUCCGAAAGGAGUGGGUAACCCGCUGAAACCCCUUCGUGAUUGGGAUCGGGGCUUGCAAUUAUUCUCCGUGAACGAGGAAUUCCCAGUAAGCGCGAGUCAUAAGCUCGCGUUGAUUACGUCCCUGCCCUUUGUACACACCGCCCGUCGCUACUACCGAUUGAAUGGUUUAGUGAGAUCCUCGGAUUUGUCCGGAAGUGGCCGCAAGGUUGCCUCUAGGUUCGGAGAAGACGAUCAAACUUGA